rnacentral:rRNA from 1 species
GACGGGGGAUGCAAGUGUUAUCCGGAAUCACUGGGCGUAAAGCGUCUGCAGGUGGUUUCCUAAGUCCACUGUUAAACCUUGAGGCUCAACCUCAAAUCUGCAUUGGAAACUAGGAGACUUGAGUAUAGUAGGGGUAGAGGGAAUUUCCAGUGGAGCGGUGAAAUGCGUAGAUAUUGGAAAGAACACCGAUGGCGAAGGCGCUCUACCGGGCUAUUACUGACACUCAGAGACGAAAGCUAGGGGAGCAAAUGGG